rnacentral:lncRNA from 1 species
GUGUAUGAUAAAAGCCAGCUUGCCGAUUUGUGAAUUUAUUGUUGAGAUUUUGGUUAAUAAUUGGAUCAUUUGCUGAUAAAUGUUAAGCGACCAUUCCUUCUUCUUAUUCUAGUUUGCCUUAACUUGGAGGAGUUUGUGGUUUAGAAGCUAACCGGAGUGGUGUUUCUUGGACUUGGCCAUUGAUGCUUGAUUUAUGUUUUUCUUGGUAUCUUGGCAAUAAGGUAGAUGGAGCAAUAGUCAUUGUCAAAUAUUGGUGUUUGUUUACUGUUCUUAUGCUUGAGGACAAGCAUGGUUUAGGUGUAGGGGAAAUUGAUAGGUUACAAUUUUAUCAUUUAUUUUAUUAUUAAUUUCCCCUAUUGCCUGAUCUGAUGUGGAUUAAUUGUUAGAUUCUACUCAUUUUUAAAAAUUUGCAUUUAUUACAGGGAGUAGAACGAAAAUACCACAACAAAUGCUAAUUCGACAGUCACCAGGAAAGAGUUCAAAUAGCAGGCAUCCAGGGGUAUUUUUGGAAUAUUAAGACGCGACCCCUUUUUGGUAAUUUACGGAAGACAGCAUUCAAGAGAAAAAGGAGGGCUGGAGUCUUCUUCUUUGGCAGAGGUGGACGCCGCAGAGGAGCAGUAGGCAUUAGAUAGAAAUUAGAAAUAGCAGACAACUAGGACUACUUGGUAGCUAGCUUUUUGACUUUUGUCUUUAGUUUUUGGGUAGCUUUACCUCUCGUAUGUCAGAUGCAAUUAGAAAGACAAACAAAUCAUUCCCUGUAGCUUUUCUUUUUGACGUUUGCUUUUCGUCCUUUGUGGCUCUCCUGCCUCGUAUGUCUGGGACAAUUAGAAACAAUUGAAUCAAUCGCUGUGGCUGGCUCAUCCUUUGUAAUUCGAGCAAAUUGAAUUCUCCCGAUCAAUGACAAAGGCCGCAAUUGUUCUUUCCGCUUUGUGAGGGUGUUCCUCAUUAGGGAUGAACUAAAUCCCUUUUCUAGUCAAGAAACAAUGGAGGCUUUGGUUCAUCUAAAUUGUGAGAUCAAUUUAAUUUUAUCUUUUUCUUUUAUUUAUUGGUACUCACAUAUUCUCUGAUUACCGUGCUUAUGGUUGUUCAAUUAAUUGAUUGUCUUGGAUCCGGAUAAUUAGUUGAUUUGCUAAUCUAUUGUCAAUUGGGAUAUUAAAUCCGUAAUUGUUUAAUUGCCUUGAAAUAGUGACAACUGGCAUGAUUAGGUUUGUGUCAGGGGAAUACGCAGGCUAAUAUAAAAUAACCCUGGUAGUGCGUUAUUUUGUUAGAAUAGGGCUCCUCCAACACGUAAGGCAAUUGGGGAAUUAAAUCUUACGGGCGUACCUAGGAUUAUUUCUCAAUUAGAGCAGUGAUUAACGGGCGUACCUUAAUCACUGACACAGUAAGGAGGGGUUGACUGUCAUCGUUUGUUUGACAGUUAUAACCUAUUUAUUAGUAAAUAAUUGGAAUUAUCUUUGUAUCGAUGAUCAAUUAGAUAAACCAUUGCUGAAGUUAUUUCUUGGCUAGACCUUUAGUUAUUAUUACUCUAAUUUUAGUAAUUUGUCAUUUAAUCUUUUGUUGGCUAUUUAUUUUUAUUCGAACCAUUUACUUAUUGCCAUUGCUAUAAAAAAAAUCCCCCCUUGUUACUUUGAAUAUCAAAAAGAGACAAAUAUCUCCAGUCCCUGAGGAUAUGACUCUACUUGCCCUGUUUACAUAUUAAUAAUUAUUUGUGAAAAUGCCAUCCCAUUCGGGUAUAUCGGAUCAAGCAAACUCUUCGGGAAUAAAGUGAAUCAAGUAACCCAUUGCACACCUAGAGUCCCUGCUACAAUAUUUGGAAUCGGAUUUUGAUUACUUUAAUUGGCAAUUAGAUUUAUUUUUAUUAUUACACGGGCAUCGACAACCUGUCAAGCUGCCAUAAAUUUUUGCUUUUAAUCCUAUGUGGUCAUUUCCUUGGAUUCUUUUUUUUUGCCUUCGUUACUCCUGUUCGGCAUCCGCCAAUUUCUGAAGUAGUGACAGGCAUAUCCAUAAGUACAAUAAUAGUACACAAGGAACAUAUUAUACCCUACAACUCAUUGAAAUACAAACUUUUAGUAUUUAAAAACCCACUUGCGAAUUGGAAUUCUUAGUAUAUUGGACUUGUACUCUUGCAAUCAUUCAUUAUUUUUGGCAUUUAAUUUUUGCAAUGAGAAUUGUUUUCAAAUUACCUAUAAGUAUAUAUGUAAAUUGACUUUCCACAAAUUAAUUAAAAUAAAAUAAAAAUCUUUAGCCUUGAAAUGACCAUUUUCAUUUAGCCAGUGGAGGCACAUUUGUCAUUUAAUAAGACAAAAAUUAAACCUUGUUAAAAAUACGAUGACUAAAACUGUGGCUUCGUUUGGAUUAGUCUAUUUUUUCACAAACUAUUUUUGUUUGCAAAAUCUACAAUAACAAUCUCCACAAACAAAUCCAAAAGUACUGUUGCGCCCCAUUUUUAAAAAAAAUAAAAUAAAAUAACGGGUUUAUAAAAAUGAAUUUUUUAUUGAUUUUGAUUGAAAAUGAGUUUUUGAUUUUUAGAAAAUAAAUAAAGAGAAAUGGAUUAUACAAAAUUAAAAACAAAUAAAGUGAAUAAAAUGCCUCUCAAAUAAUCAAAAAUUAAAUUAUACAAAAUUAAAAACAAAUAAAGUGAAUAAAUAAUAAAAUAAAAUAAUUCAAAAAAAAGAGACAUGCAAUUACACAUAUAAAAUCAUAUAGGAACACAUAAGAGGAUUUAAAAAUAACACAAGAGAAUACCUCCCUUUGAAGUAGUAGCUAAUGAGGGAUUGGAUUGUCCUAUUUAACUCAAAAAUUAACAAAAAUCAUCACCACACCAAUUUAAUUAACAAAUAAAAACAAUAACAUGUAAAGAAAUGAAAUUGAUUAAUUAAAACAUUUAAAUGAAAGUAAACAACCUAUAUUCAAAAAAAUUAAAACAAGUAGGGAUCUAAUUAAAAAUAAGAAAGUUUUAGGGGUUAAUUUGUAAUUUUCAUAAAGAUUUGGUCAAAAUUGAAGAAAAAUAAAGUUUAGGAACCUAUUUGCAGUUAAAUUAGGGACCGAAUUGAAAGAAAUCAAAGGUUUUAGAGCCUUAAUAUAAUUAUAAACAAGUAUAGGAACUGUUAUGCAAAUUUCGUUUUCUGGUUUCUUAAUAACAGGCCACGAGGCCACUUCUCUUAUUUAUUUGGGCCGAAAGUCCUCCCAGCCCAAUAAAAACCCAAAGCCCAAGGAGCGGGCCAGUCAACCAUUCUGACCCCAAAAUAAUCCAACAAACUAAUAGGCUUUAACCCUUCCAACCCAAGACAAACCCAAAGAAGAAAAGUGCCUAAUCCAAUUCCCAAUGACCCAAACAACGAAUCAAAUCUAAUUCCCCUUUUAUUUUACCAAAAUCCAACAAAGUAAUAGCUGAAAUAAAAAUGUUAAAGUCUAAUUUCAUCCCAAAAUCCAGAAUUAAUUAACUGAAAAGCACACUUAAAACAUAGAAAAGAAGAUUUAAGAUUAAAAGGCCUAAAAAUGAUUUAUUUGCAAAAGUUUUUGGGCUGUAGUGGGAUUAUCCGGGAGUUGGGGGUUAAAAUGAAAUUUUUGGAAAAACCCAUGCAACUGGUUCGAAGAGCCUUUUCCGUUCUGCAACUUUCUUCUGCGACUCCUGGGAGCUUAUCAUCAACUCAACAAAAAUUUCAAACAAUCCUUAAACACACGAAACCGAAUGACUACCUCAUAUCCUAUUAUCGUAACUCAACAUUGAAGGAAAUCAAGAACAGGAAAUCUAGAUAAAACAUAAAAAUGCAAGCCAAUGGCAGCAAAAGGAAACGAAAGAGAACAGCAAAUGAAUGUAAUAGCAAACGAAAAUGGAAGGAACCAGAGCAUUAGUUUAGGGGAGUACCUGAUGAAGGUUGUCGGAUCAAACUAGAAUAAGGGAACAGGCAAAAGAAGCAGCUAUAGUCAACUUCUCGAACCUUUGGACAUGCAUCAGUGAAACGGGAUCAGCCCAUUCAGGGCCAGAUUCGACGGUUCUACAGAUGUUUUUUCUCCAAGAUUUGUGAAUAAAAGUCGAUUCUCUAACUUUGUAGAUUAAGAAGAAAUUAAAAUUUCAUUCAACUAAGCUACAAUGAAAGAGAUAUUUGAGCCGAAAUAUGGCUGAAAAUCAGCCCUUUUUACCAAAAUUUUCUGC